UAGAGAGACUAGGAGCUAUCAGAGAGAUGUUCCACAGCAUCACACAGGGUGAAGCUGACCAGAGAGAUCAUCUUCCAGACAGAAGGAGCCAGGAAAGGGUGAAGAUGCCUGCAAAGGCUGGAGAUAAAAACUUGAACACUUUGAAAUGAAAAACAGGAUAUUUCAGCUGGCCUGAAAAGUCCUUGGGACACUGGGAAAUCAUAUGGAACACCAGGACUGUCCCACAGAAAUUGGGACAUAUGGUCUCUUUAUCUAGAUAUAGAAUCCUCUGUAACCUUUUCCCAGCCAAUAAAACAUCCUGCCUCCUG